UACGUAGGGUGCGAGCGUUGUCCGGAAUUAUUGGGCGUAAAGGGCUCGUAGGCGGUUUGUCACGUCGGGAGUGAAAACUCGGGGCUCAACCCCGAGCCUGCUUCCGAUACGGGCAGACUAGAGGUAUGCAGGGGAGAAUGGAAUUCCUGGUGUAGCGGUGAAAUGCGCAGAUAUCAGGAGGAACACCGGCGGCGAAGGCGGUUCUCUGGGCAUUACCUGACGCUGAGGAGCGAAAGUGUGGGGAGCGAACAGG
rnacentral:rRNA from 1 species